AAAUAAGAAGCAUUUCAUGCAUUCAAUUUCGACUUGAAAGAAGGUUAAUACAAUCCUUAUUUA
rnacentral:tRNA from 1 species